rfam:Rattus norvegicus chromosome 6, whole genome shotgun sequence.
AUGUCCUGAGCAGAAGGGUCCCCAAUGGGAACCUCUCAGGAGGGGGGUUUGGGGCGGCGGGGGGGGGACCAGCAUCUUGCUGGCAACUGUGGGUGGGGUGGGGUGC